CUUAUGACCCGCACUUACUGGAAAUUCCUCCUUCAUGGGGAAUAAUUGCAAUCCCCCAUCCCCAUCACGAAUGAGGUUCAACAGGUUACCCGCCUCUGCCACGUAGGGUAGGCACACGCUGAGCCAGUCAGUGUAGCGCGCGUGCAGUCCCGGACAUCUAAGGGCAUCACAGCGCGGUCCUAUUCCAUUAUUCCUAGCUGCGGUAUCCAGGCGGCUUGGACCUGCUUUGAACACUCUAAUUUUUUCAAAGUAAACGCUUUGGGCCGCGGAACACUCAGCUAAGAGCAUCGAGGGGGCGCCAAGAGCUUUUUAACUGCAGCAACUUUAAUAUACGCUAUUGGAGCUGGAAUUACCGCGGCUGCUGGCACUAAACUUGCCCUCCAAUGGAUCUUCGUUAAAGGAUUUAAAGUGGACUCAUUCCAAUUACAGGACCUCGAAAGAGUCCUGUAUUGUUAU
rnacentral:lncRNA from 1 species